GCCGGAUCCGCCCACCCCUCCCUAGCGCCCCGGGCCAUUUAAAGAAGUGCAACUGGCAGGGGGCGGGGCAGCGACUCCGGGGUGGAGGGCGGCCGGUCCAACAGAACCGCUUCCUUCCACUCAGCUACAGUCCUCGCUCCAAGAUCGUCACCAUUGCUCCCUGCGGUUCCUUUAUGCACGUCCUCUGGUGGUCCCACCUGGGUCUUCUGACACCCUCUUUCCUUCCCCGCUCCAUCAAGAUGACUCCUCUGCUACUGUUCAUGGCUUCCUACCCACCCCGAAUACAAACUUCAAACUCCUUCCUUUUGCCACAAAGCCCCUCACGACCUUGCUUGAUGCGUUCUCCUGGUUCUCUCCGAUCCUGCCCCAUUGAGUCACUUCCAGUUUUUCUAAAAUGGCUUCAAGCUCCCAUUCACCCCAUCAGGAAAACGAAAGGAUUUUCUCUGUUUGUUUUCUUCCCUGCUUUACCCCAGUGUCUACAACAAUGCCAGGUACAUAAUAAGUUCGCAAACAUGACAAUAAAAGGCCUCUGGAUCUUUAUUAUUAAUAUUAUUUUUUGCCGGGCGCAGUGGCGCACGCCUGUAAUCCCAGC
rnacentral:lncRNA from 1 species